GUAAGUAUACCCCUAAAGGUGUCAAGUAUACAUAUAUGACUAAAUCAUUCACGUCAGGUCAAAGUGCAGCCAAUGAUAGGGUGAUGAUGGGUUACACCCCCAACAAAGACACAGAUUAAAGCACUAAGAGCCUUAUGAAGAUGGACUUGGAAGUAAUUAAAAUCCAAUAUUAUAAUAAACAAUGAUCUAAGACGUGCACACAUCGCCCGUCACUCUCGCCUAAAGGCG
rnacentral:rRNA from 1 species